rnacentral:rRNA from 1 species
GGGGAAACCCAGUGCAAUCCGUUGCACUAUCGUUAACUGAAUACAUAGGUUAACGAGGCGAACCGGGGGAACUGAAACAUCUAAGUACCCCGAGGAAAAGAAAUCAACCGAGAUUCCCCCAGUAGCGGCGAGCGAACGGGGAGCAGCCCGGAGUCUGAAUCAGCUUGUGUGUUAGUGGAACGGUCUGGAAAGUCCGACGGUACAGGGUGAUAGUCCCGUACACGAAAAUGCACAUGCUGUGAACUCGAAGAGUAGGGCGGGACACGUGGUAUCCUGUCUGAAUAUGGGGGGACCAUCCUCCAAGGCUAAAUACUCCUGACUGACCGAUAGUGAACCAGUACCGUGAGGGAAAGGCGAAAAGAACCCCGGCGAGGGGAGUGAAAAAGAACCUGAAACCGUGUACGUACAAGCAGUGGGAGCCU